CCUACGGGAGGCAGCAGUGGGGAAUAUUGCGCAAUGGACGAAAGUCUGACGCAGCAACGCCGCGUGAGGGAUGACGGCCUUCGGGUUGUAAACCUCUUUCAGCAGGGACGAAGCGAGAGUGACGGUACCUGCAGAAGAAGGACCGGCCAACUACGUGCCAGCAGCCGCGGUAAUACGUAGGGUCCGAGCGUUGUCCGGAAUUAUUGGGCGUAAAGGGCUCGUAGGCGGUUCGUCACGUCGGGAGUGAAAACUCGGAGCUCAACUCUGAGCCUGCUUCCGAUACGGGCAGACUAGAGGUAGGCAGGGGAGAGCGGAACUCCUGGUGUAGCGGUGGAAUGCGCAGAUAUCAGGAAGAACACCGGUGGCGAAGGCGGCUCUCUGGGCCUUACCUGACGCUGAGGAGCGAAAGCGUGGGUAGCGAACAGGAUUAGAUACCCUGGUAGUCCACGCCGUAAACGUUGGGCGCUAGGUGUGGGGGACAUUCCACGUCCUCCGUGCCGCNGCUACGCAUAAGCGCCCCGCCCGUCGGGAGGUACGGCCGGCCGAACGGACGUAAAACCUAACCAAACGGAAAGUUAGACGGCGNGAGACGUGCCGAACGGACGACGACGAGGGAGGUAGG
rnacentral:rRNA from 1 species